rnacentral:lncRNA from 1 species
GGUGAUCUGUCUUUAUCAACAUCACGAUCUGAAGCCAAUAAUCUCCACCACAACAUGCGACCCAUGACUCUUAAGUGAAAGUGAAGUUCACUGAAUUUGAUUUUUUUCAAGUAAUUUAAUUAAUCUCGAAACAUCUCUUUAUAUUAUUGUCAAUGAAGCUAAAUAGCUAGCAUGUUAUUCUUGAUGAGUUGAAUUACUGAAAAAAAAAGGUAGUGGCGAUGGAAAGUUCAUCUGUGUGUCUGUCCAUGA